ensembl:snRNA U6 U6 spliceosomal RNA
GUACUCACUUACUUUGGCAGCACGUAUACUGAAAUCGGAACCGCACAUAGCACUUUAGCACGGCUCUUGUGCAGGAAUGACAAGCAAAUUCAUGAGGCUGAGACAUUCCAU